rnacentral:rRNA from 1 species
CGUAGGCGGCCACCGCAAGUCAGUUGUGAAAGCUCUGGGCUUAACCCAGAAAGGUCAACUGAUACUGCGGGGCUAGAGUGCAGAAGGGGCAACUGGAAUUCUCGGUGUAGCGGUGAAAUGCGUAGAUAUCGAGAGGAACACCUGCGGCGAAGGCGGGUUGCUGGGCUGACACUGACGCUGAUGUGCGAAAGCUAGGGGAGCGAACG